rnacentral:rRNA from 1 species
UACAGAGGGGGCAAGCGUUAUUCGGAAUUAUUGGGCGUAAAGGGCGCGUAGGCGGCUUUUCAAGUGACGGGUGAAAUCCCUCGGCUUUAACCGAGGAACUGCCUGUCAGACUGGAAGGCUUGAGACCGGGAGAGGUGAGUGGAAUUCCCAGUGUAGCGGUGAAAUGCGUAGAUAUUGGGAGGAACACCAGUGGCGAAGGCGGCUCACUGGACCGGAACUGACGCUGAGGCGCGAAAGCGUGGGGAGCAACAGG